ACUUAUUAUAUUUCAAUCGAGUGAAGCUCAUUACAACCAAGAAAGAAUAAAAAAUACAAAGCUCAAGCCCGACCGACACCCUAAGAGCAUGAGCCGAGCUUCAGCACGACACAAUCCCUAACAAAGAGCACAAGACCCCUCAUUUUGUGAUGCUCAUCGGUCUCCUCAAAAGGACAUCGGUAAUGGCAUGGGAGCUUUGCUUUUGGAAACCCAUUCACCUUUAUGAUGCACCUCCAAGGAAGGUUGGAAGGCUACGUUGGGUGAAACAAGAAACAGGCCCUCCAGAAAGGUCCAAGACUUGAUCAUAGAGGACAAAGAGCUAAAAGUCCAGAUGGUCACCUCCACGGCCUCACAACCAAAGUAGCAGAACGUUCCAAUACAUCUCAUACCAAAAUGAGAUGCCCACUAAAGUGCUCCCUCAAAGCAUCUAGUGACUGAUCAAAGGGAAGAGGAGAUCUCGUAAGCCAGAAAAAAGUGCCGACAACCUUUGACACUGGGCAAGACGGCACCACCACAACAUUGAGGAAGAUAACCAAGGUGAUAUUGGCCCCAGCCCGUAGAGUUCCUACUUAUAGAAGGGACAAGCCCAGGCAAAUCCAAACACCCCACUAGCUAUGCAACAAAUUUCACCAAUGUAAAGGCCUUAGAUACUAUG
rnacentral:lncRNA from 1 species